AGAAGAAAAAAAAUCGGCAAAGCAACAGGACAGGAAAGGAUGUACACAGUGAAUAGUAAAUUAUACCUUUCUGACAUUAUGAAUCCUGCAUCCUGCUGACUCAAACUGGGCACAAGAAUUACAUGGUAAUCCUCACCACAUGCUCACGGGAAACGCUAAACAUAUUUACAAAUGAGUCAAUUCAGGAAUAAACACAUAAACACAUACGGACAUGUUCAUGUAAACCGGUCAUCUCCAUAUACUCGGUAUAUAUUUUUCCAGUAUAUAUAUAUAGUGUAGGGUUAUGAUUGGAGUUAAGUGUAACACAGACAUAUUGUGCACUUUACAUGCUACAAGAACUAGCAUUUUCACACACAAAUAUUUAUGAAUUUGUAUGCCCCUGCCUUAAAAACACAUAUGUUGAACUGAAUAAUAAGAGCACUCUGUACCCACUCGCAGUAAUAGUACAUUCAGCACUUCUCUUUCUGUUCAUGCUAAAUUUUUCUUUCCUGUCCCUCACUGUUCAGCUCCCUUAAUAACACACAGUAGGCAGAUGAUAGAUAUUUCUAAUAUUUGUUUUGUUUUUCUGGCUCUGCAGUUUAAAGUAAAAACAUCGGCAGAGGCACAGUUUGAUAAAGCACUGCAAAAGAUGUUUAUAAUAAUGGCAAUGCUUUCAUUGGCCAGGCAGUUAGAUUGAGCUCAGUGGAGGCAAAACGGUAAUUUAGAGGGAGAUUGAGACAUCUGUGCAAGUAGCACUGGGAACACUGGACCAGUGAGCCAAAUAGUGUCUUUAUCUUUUCUGUCCUUCUCUUUUUUAAUUAAGGUCUAUAUAAGGAUAGGCUUAGAUAUUAAAAAAAAUAGAUGCGCUGUAAAACUUUACUGUAAAUUUAAAGGCAUUUUCUAACAGUAUUAUACUGUAUUUUUAUAAAGCAUUUUAUUUUUAUUUAAUAAAAAUUCUGUAUAUUUUGCAGAUUGUCUGUAAAUAUACAGCAGAUUUCUGUUUUCAAACCGCUUUAUUUGUAAUACAGAAUCAUGCUGUAAAUGCAUUGCAUUGUGGGAUUGAUUGUCUUUCGCGGUCAAUUUAUGUCGUGUGAUGUAAUGUGAACAGACGCUAGUGUUGGUGUCAGAAAACUUAAUUUGUCCGCGGAUUUAACUUAACUAAAAAUUAAUCGUGUUAUAGAAAUAUGUCAGGAUCGUUAUCUUAAGUAACCUAGGCCUAUCUAACGCAAGCGAGAGUAAGGCCGAUCUCUUUCGCAGCGCUUGGUUGCACUGACCUGUUGCACCUGUUGCACUGACCAACAGAAAGCUGGCCUCUGUGUGAGCCGUGCUUUUAUUCAUCGCCAAGAUUUUCUGCGCUUCGUUAUUUUUUAAACUGUAGCUGUCUAUGACGCAGCAGAAAAUGGAGGACGCUGAAAAGAGCGCAAACUCGUUGGCCGUCUGAAUAAUCUAGUUUUCUUCGGAGUUCGAGAAGAUGGAUGAUUAUUCGUUUGAGUAUUCUUACGCAUAAUUAAUCUGAUGAAGGAAGAUCCAGUGUUAACGUCAAUCUCUAAGCAGCCAGCGGUGGAUGUUGAGCACAGAAGACACUUUCUUAAUAUAAACCCUGAACGUGGCUCAAAGGCCAAGAAAGAGAAAGUAACUUCAAAGAAUACUGGACUGGACACAAAAAGUACAGCACUGUUAACCCACAGGUUUGUUUGGAGGAGCGCAUACCCAAAGGGACUGUCUGAGUGAGUCGAUGAACAUGAGCAUUAAAGAGGAAAAGCGAGACGAUGGAUGGAUGAAAAGAUGGAUGACUGCAUGGAAGAGCUCUAGGGCUUUUUCUGAGAGGAGACAUAACUGUUACAUGAUCCAGCAAGAAGCACAUACAAAGAGGUAUUUCACUCAAAAAUGUCAUAAUACUCAAUCUUAUGUUGCUUGAAACCUUAUGUUCAGUAGUCUGUGCAACACCAGAAUAGACUUACUUUUUCGGCAGUUUGUAACAACCGAAAACACAUUAAAGCACCGUAAGAGGAUUAAUGCACUGUUUAAGGUUUUCUAAAACCACAGAAAUUUAAGUCAGUGGUAUUUCUGGUGACUAAAUUUAGAAACUUUUCAUACUUAACCGAUGAAUGUGCUCGUCCUAAACCAGAAUCUGUUUGUGCGUCAGUAAUGAUUAAUUCCAGCAUUUACUGUUUUAACUGGAUUUAAGUUAAAUAUGUAAAUUAUUUAGUUACGUCCUUCACACAUGCACAAAAUGAAUAAACUCUUGGAAUCAUACUUCUGUACAUAAUGUGUAGUCGCUCCUGCAUUAGUCACCAUUACUUCAAACUGUCAAUUUUUUAAUGGAGAAAAACUACAACUGAAGCGCAGAGAGAGAGAGGAAGAUCUAUUCUUACACAAUGACUCAGCACAUCCAGUCUUAACACACACACACACACACAUACACGCUGACACUCUAUACUGUGCUUGUACAUUACAAUUUCUCUGUCCUACUUUGUAUGUUUUUGUUCAUCUCUUGGAAAGGUUUGGGUGUCAGGUUUGUGAGAAUUGCUUUAAAAGCUUUUCAGAGCACUCGUAAUUGGUGCAUCAUUAUCUCUGUAUCAGUUGGUGCGUUUCACUACUGCAAAGAAAAGUAAUUGUGUAAAAGAUAAAAUAAUAAAUACUCGCAUUUGAGAGAUGAAGUCACAACUGCACGAUAUAAAAAUUCAAUUAUUAGAAAUCCACAAGAAAUAGAGUAGCGAUUGCAAAAAAAGCAACGUGACAAAGUUGCAUUGUGAGGGAUUGCAUUAUUAAAACAUUUUGAGAUCACUGUUUUAUAAAGUCACAGUUUGUGAAAUAAAGUUGCAAUAAAAAAAAUGCAGUUGCAAGGAAUAGUAAUACUGUAAAAUAUAGGCACGAUUACGAGAAAUAAGCUGCAAGAUAAAACCAGAA